rnacentral:rRNA from 1 species
UGCAGUCGAACGGCAGCACGGGAGCGAUCCUGGUGGCGAGUGGCGAACGGGUGAGUAAUAUAUCGGAACCUGCCCAGUCGUGGGGGAUAACGCAGCGAAAGCUGUGCUAAUACCGCAUACGAUCUCUGGAUGAAAGCGGGGGACUCGUAAGAGCCUCGCGCGAUCGGAGCGGCCGAUAUCAGAUUAGCUAGUUGGUGGGGUAAAGGCCCACCAAGGCGACGAUCUGUAGCUGGUCUGAGAGGACGAUCAGCCACACUGGAACUGAGACACGGUCCAGACUCCUACGGGAGGCAGCAGUGGGGAAUUUUGGACAAUGGGCGCAAGCCUGAUCCAGCAAUGCCGCGUGCAGGAUGAAGGCCUUCGGGUUGUAAACUGCUUUUGUACGGAACGAAAAGGUCUGCCUUAAUACGGUGGGCCCAUGACGGUACCGUAAGAAUAAGCACCGGCUAACUACGUGCCAGCAGCCGCGGUAAUACGUAGGGUGCGAGCGUUAAUCGGAAUUACUGGGCGUAAAGCGUGCGCAGGCGGUUAUAUAAGACAGAUGUGAAAUCCCCGGGCUCAACCUGGGACCUGCAUUUGUGACUGUAUAGCUAGAGUACGGUAGAGGGGGAUGGAAUUCCGCGUGUAGCAGUGAAAUGCGUAGAUAUGCGGAGGAACACCGAUGGCGAAGGCAAUCCCCUGGACCUGUACUGACGCUCAUGCACG